rnacentral:hammerhead_ribozyme from 1 species
AUUUAGUUGACGGGUCCCAAAUAGGACGAAACACGUGUCCUGGAU